rnacentral:rRNA from 1 species
UGCAGUCGAGCGGAAGGCCCUUCGGGGUACUCGAGCGGCGAACGGGUGAGUAACACGUGAGCAACCUGCCCCAGGCUUUGGGAUAACCCCGGGAAACCGGGGCUAAUACCGAAUAUGACCUCUGACCGCAUGGUUGGUGGUGGAAAGUUUUUCGGCUUGGGAUGGGCUCGCGGCCUAUCAGCUUGUUGGUGGGGUGAUGGCCUACCAAGGCGACGACGGGUAGCCGGCCUGAGAGGGCGACCGGCCACACUGGGACUGAGACACGGCCCAGACUCCUACGGGAGGCAGCAGUGGGGAAUAUUGCACAAUGGGCGGAAGCCUGAUGCAGCGACGCCGCGUGAGGGAUGACGGCCUUCGGGUUGUAAACCUCUUUCAGCAGGGACGAAGCGUAAGUGACGGUACCUGCAGAAGAAGCGCCGGCCAACUACGUGCCAGCAGCCGCGGUAAGACGUAGGGCGCGAGCGUUGUCCGGAUUUAUUGGGCGUAAAGAGCUCGUAGGCGGCUUGUCGCGUCGACCGUGAAAACUUGGGGCUCAACCCCAAGCCUGCGGUCGAUACGGGCAGGCUAGAGUUCGGUAGGGGAGACUGGAAUUCCUGGUGUAGCGGUGAAAUGCGCAGAUAUCAGGAGGAACACCGGUGGCGAAGGCGGGUCUCUGGGCCGAUACUGACGCUGAGGAGCGAAAGCGUGGGGAGCGAACAGGAUUAGAUACCCUGGUAGUCCACGCUGUAAACGUUGGGCGCUAGGUGUGGGGGGCCUCUCCGGUUCCCUGUGCCGCAGCUAACGCAUUAAGCGCCCCGCCUGGGGAGUACGGCCGCAAGGCUAAAACUC